UUUUGAAAGACGCUUUCGGCUGUCACUAAGGGAUGGGCCUGCGGCGCAUUAGCUAGUUGGUAAGGUAACGGCUUACCAAGGCGACGAUGCGUAGCCGACCUGAGAGGGUGAUCGGCCACACUGGGACUGAGACACGGCCCAGACUCCUACGGGAGGCAGCAGUAGGGAAUCUUCCGCAAUGGACGAAAGUCUGACGGAGCAACGCCGCGUGAGUGAGGAAGGCCUUCGGGUCGUAAAGCUCUGUUGUGAGGGAAGAACAAGUACCGGCGUAACUACCGGUACCUUGACGGUACCUCACCAGAAAGCCACGGCUAACUACGUGCCAGCAGCCGCGGUAAUACGUAGGUGGCAAGCGUUGUCCGGAAUUAUUGGGCGUAAAGCGCGCGCAGGCGGCUUCUUAAGUCUGAUGUGAAAUCUCGGGGCUCAACCCCGAGCGGCCAUUGGAAACUGGGAAGCUUGAGUGCAGAAGAGGAGAGUGGAAUUCCACGUGUAGCGGUGAAAUGCGUAGAUAUGUGGAGGAACACCAGUGGCGAAGGCGACUCUCUGGUCUGUAACUGACGCUGAGGCGCGAAAGCGUGGGGAGCAAACAGGAUUAGAUACCCUGGUAGUCCACGCCGUAAACGAUGAGUGCUAGGUGUUAGGGGUUUCGAUGCCCGUAGUGCCGAAGUAAACAC
rnacentral:rRNA from 2 species